AUUGAACGCUGGCGGCAGGCCUAACACAUGCAAGUCGAACGAGUGGCGGACGGGUGAGUAAUGUCUGGGAAACUGCCCGAUGGAGGGGGAUAACUACUGGAAACGGUAGCUAAUACCGCAUACCAUCGGAUGUGCCCAGAUGGGAGUAGCUUGUAGGUGAGGUAACGGCUCACCUAGGCGACGAUCCCUAGCUGGUCUGAGAGGAGGACCAGCCACACGGGAACUGAGAGACGGUCCAGACUCCUCCGUGAGGCAGCAUUGGGGAAUAUUGCACAAUGGGCGCAAGCCUGAUGCAGCCAUGAUGCGUGUAUGAAGAAGGCCUUCGGUUUGUCAAGUACUUUCAGCGGGGAGGCGUUACCCGCAGAAGAAGCACCGGCUAACUCCGUGCCAGCAGCCGCGGUAAUAC
rnacentral:rRNA from 1 species